UGCAGUCGAGGGGUAUUUAUCUUCGGAUGUAGAGACCGGCGCACGGGUGCGUAACGCGUAUGCAAUCUACCUUUUACAGAGGGAUAGCCCAGAGAAAUUUGGAUUAAUACCUCAUAGUAUAUAGACUCGGCAUCGAGAUUAUAUUAAAGUCACAACGGUAAAAGAUGAGCAUGCGUCCCAUUAGCUAGUUGGUAAGGUAACGGCUUACCAAGGCUACGAUGGGUAGGGGUCCUGAGAGGGAGAUCCCCCACACUGGUACUGAGACACGGACCAGACUCCUACGGGAGGCAGCAGUGAGGAAUAUUGGACAAUGGGCGCAAGCCUGAUCCAGCCAUGCCGCGUGCAGGAUGACGGUCCUAUGGAUUGUAAACUGCUUUUAUACGAGAAGAAACACUGCUACGUGUAGCAGCUUGACGGUAUCGUAAGAAUAAGGAUCGGCUAACUCCGUGCCAGCAGCCGCGGUAAUACGGAGGAUCCAAGCGUUAUCCGGAAUCAUUGGGUUUAAAGGGUCCGUAGGCGGUUUAAUAAGUCAGUGGUGAAAGCCCAUCGCUCAACGGUGGAACGGCCAUUGAUACUGUUAGACUUGAAUUAUUAGGAAGUAACUAGAAUAUGUAGUGUAGCGGUGAAAUGCUUANAGAUUACAUGGAAUACCAAUUGCGAAGGCAGGUUACUACUAAUUGAUUGACGCUGAUGGACGNANCGUGGGUAGCGAAC
rnacentral:rRNA from 1 species